rnacentral:rRNA from 1 species
AGGACGAACGCUGGCGGCGUGCUUAACACAUGCAAGUCGAGCGGUAAGGCCUUUCGGGGUACACGAGCGGCGAACGGGUGAGUAACACGUGGGUGAUCUGCCCUGCACUCUGGGAUAAGCCUGGGAAACUGGGUCUAAUACCGGAUAUGACCUGCUCUCGCAUGGGGGUGGGUGGAAAGAUUUAUCGGUGCAGGAUGGGCCCGCGGCCUAUCAGCUUGGUUGGUGGGUAAUGGCCUACCAAGGCGACGACGGGUAGCCGACCUGAGAGGGUGACCGGCCACACUGGGACUGAGACACGGCCCAGACUCCUACGGGAGGCAGCAGUGGGGAAUAUUGCACAAUGGGCGAAAGCCUGAUGCAGCGACGCCGCGUGAGGAUAGGAAGGUCCUUACGGGGUUGUAAACCUCUUUCGAGCGAGGACGAAGCGCAAGUGACGGUACC